rnacentral:rRNA from 1 species
CCUACGGGAGGCAGCAGUGGGGAAUAUUGGACAAUGGGCGCAAGCCUGAUCCAGCCAUGCCGCGUGUGUGAAGAAGGCUCUAGGGUUGUAAAGCACUUUCAGUAGGGAGGAAGGCCAGAGUGUUAAUAGCGCUUUGGAUUGACGUUACCUACAGAAGCAGCACCGGCUAACUCCGUGCCAGCAGCCGCGGUAAUACGGAGGGUGCAAGCGUUAAUCGGAAUUACUGGGCGUAAAGCGCGCGUAGGCGGUUUGUUAAGUGUGAUGUGAAAGCCCAGGGCUCAACCUUGGAACUGCAUCACAUACUGGCAAGCUAGAGUACGGUAGAGGGGGGUAGAAUUCCAUGUGUAGCGGUGAAAUGCGUAGAGAUGUGGAGGAAUACCAGUGGCGAAGGCGGCCCCCUGGAUCGAUACUGACGCUGAGGUGCGAAAGCGUGGGGAGCA